GUACCUAUAUUCAUUAGAAUGGUUCAUGAUAGGCAGCAGGGGUUAAUUGACUUCUAAAAGCCUGGGUCUCUGUCACAAUUUCUCUGCCUUCA